GUUUCCCCUGGUGACACUGGUGGGACUCUUGCUCCAAGAAGCAAAGGAAGGAGAUCCUGUGCAAAUAAAGGCCCAAACCUUCCCUCAGGAUAGCUGGGGGAUAGUUCCAGCUGCAUCAAGGCAGCUUCACCCAUCAACACCACUCAAAGGACUUGAUUAAUUAAAAAGAAAAAGGAGUGAGGGAAGGCACAGAGAGCAGUGAAGACUUCCCAAGCAUGUGGCAGGUCAGACUAGGUUAUCAGCAGGCUGUUCUUCCCUAUUGUUUUCCCUAGGUUAUGGAUCUUUUGAGUUAUUCCUGGUUUGUUUUGAAUCUUGGUCUGCUUUCUUCGCUUCUGGGGUGCCAGUAGACAGAGCUAGAUUUCAGAAAGAGGUUGAGUUGGCAGACGUGGCCUUCCAAGGGGUAGAAAGAAGUAAGUCACCAAGGUUGUCUCGAACUGUCAGCCCCUGUUGUUUUGACUCUACCAGCUGUUGGAGUUCAUGUGGGCUUGUAAGCAUCCCAAGAGGGCCAUAAACCAGUUGCUGGGAUCCCCAGACUCCCUCCAGACAACAUCUCAGGGUUUCAAUCCUAUUUACUGUGCUCUUACUCUAGGAAAUCCCCGUGCCCAGCAAGACCAGUAUGGAAGUUGUAAACACAGCGAGACCAUUUGUCAGCGAGUAUGAACUGGCCCAACAGACUGGCAUUGCAUACCCCAAAAUUUGGGUUGCUGAGUCAAUGGGAGCUGGGAGAGGUAUGGUCCCAAUCCAAAUUUAACUCCAGGGUUGGGUCCUUAAAUGUGUAAGGAUUAAUCGUGAUCCCACCAAACUGAGCUGUUAAAAGUCUCCUGUAGCAGAGUAGCUGCAGGUCAGGAUGCAGGGUUCUUCUUUAUUUUUGCAGCUCGAUAUUUCUGUCCUAACGUGUAGUCCAGCUUGAAACUUUCGGAGAACAGACAAUUGGGAAGAAUUAAGAGAGAGAUGGGAAGUAGAGUAGGGAGGUGGUGUAAGAGGAGAGUAUCAGAACUGUGUUGCUGUAGAGGUGUUUGACUGAGGAAAGUCUUGCUGCUGGGAUGUUGUAGAGAGGUGAAACUAUCUAACAGAAAAAGAGGUGGGCUGGGAGAAGGAGGAGUCCUGGUUUUGGGGUGUCACCCCGUUAACAUUGGGUCUUUCGGAAACGUAAAUGAGUGGUGGGCUGCUAGGCUGAGAGAAAGUUUCCGAAGAGGAGGAAAGCUCUGUGGUAUACAGACAGUGACAUUUGCUGGCCUUAGUAAUGAAUAAAUGCCAAGUUCAGUGUAUUGUGUGAUGUGUCCUGUUUGCCUUGCGCUAACAGCCUAAACCUUUGAGUAUAAGUAAGUGUAGUGUUCUGAAUUCAGUGGUGUAUUUCCAAGCUUAGCUGUGUUAGAACUGUGUGCUAUGAGCUAGUCAGGUUGUGUAUGUGGAAAAAUAUAUAUUCAUAUAUAGAAAUAUAUAUAUUUAAACCUCCGAUGUUUAGGAGGAAACCAGGGAAAUCCUCCAGGAAGUAAAACUGUGGAAAUCUUUGCGAAUGUAGUGCAUUUUUUGAUGUGCAUGCUCCAUGGAGACGCUGACCUGUCCAUAUUGACCAUUGCUUUUCUGAGUGCUCAGAAGCCCCUGCAGCACCGCUCAAGUGCAAAUCUCAGCUCUGUCUCCAGAGCAGCUCGGCGAAAGGCUUGUGUUGAGCUGAUGGAGAGGAGUGCUGCUGCUCACAGCUCUUCCCACCCCGUCACACAAGGGACAACUGGCCAGAGAAGCCUGAGCUUCCAAGACUUGGUGUGAUUCCUUGGCAUUUAGAUGCUUCAUGCAUCUUCACGCUCCUCAGUAACGUCCUUUCCAAUCGCAGGAUAUAGCAACAGCCGUGAAGAUGACGUGUCACAGCAGGCAGAACAUGGCAGGAAGGCACGUAGACAGUUACCAAUAGCCCAACACACCGAUCUCACUUUACGUAAGGAAAGGCCUUGCCAAACAAUUCUCCCUAUUAUUUUUUGACCCUAAGUUGCACAUUGAAAGAGACACCACACUUGCCACCAUUUCACCUUGAACUCAAUGGGAAUUUAGCCCUUGACUUCAAGGCUAGCCAAAUUUUGCCCAAGGAACAUCAUGAAGAUGCUCAGACCACCUAAGGCAAGCAUCUCCGUGAUUCUGGAUCAACUGCUCAUCACCCAGGGCUUUGGGAUUGCUUCUUCUCAAUGAAGAGCAUCCAUCAGAGUGUUUGAAUGAAGCAUGCACCCCAAGCCAUCAGAAUAUGGCCCUAUGAUUCCUUAACACAUGAAGGUUUUUGGUGGCAUCUAACUAAAAAGCUAAGUAUGAAGGGCUAGCCAGCAGUCUAAAUUCCCUCUCUAGUGAAGGAACUUUCCAAGGGCCAUUGAGCUACCUAUUUUGGACACCUUUCUGUGGGUGGGAUGAAUGAUCCUUGGAAGGUUUCAAUCUUUGCAGAAAGAGCCUGGGAGACUGGUAGGACCUGGGGACCUCCCUCUCAGACAGCAACAAAAUAGGGGUAUAAAUCUCAGCCCAUGUGCACCAGGUCCUCAGCAUACCUCCAAGCAUGCAAUUCAGCAUUGCACUGAAUGCCAGGAACUGCAGCAGAGUCAGGCCUCGGGGUGAAAUCCUGCACUGCUCUACCUUCCACAGACUUUAUGCUCAUUCGACCCACUCAGGUUUAUCAGAAAGGAGACCAAAUCUCUGCCGUUUCAAGUUCACUUUGGACUCUGAGCUUGUCGAUCCCACUGGGAAAGAGUGCUCUGCUGUUCUGUGUUUCCAGCUACCACAAUGCUGAUUCUGUUUCACUGCUAAUUUGUAAUGUUUUGCUUUCCUUGUAAAAAGAAAAAAAAAAAAAAAAGAAAAGAAAAAAGAGAAAUGUUUUGCUUUUUACCCUGUGAAAGUUCCUAUGCUGUCUAUUGCUUGCUUUCUCAUUUUCACUGUAUUGUACUGUUACUCCUUUCUGCAAAAUGGUGCUAUUUGCUGACUGAGCUCCUGUUUUCUGACUGCUUUGCACACCGAUCACCUGCUUCUUCAUUUGCAACGCGUCCGGUGUAAAAACAUGGCUCCCACGAAUUCCACAAACUCUUGCCUCUUGGAGGCAGAUAGGAAGUGUCUAAUUAAUAUUUUGUGGCCUGGGUUUGGUUGCGUAUCACAAAUUGUCUCUUGUAAUGUGUUAAGCACACCUCCUCGUGGUGCUUUUCUUCAUUCUUGCUGUUCUAAUGAGAAUCACACACACACACACACCACACAAACACACACAAAUUAAUGUAUAGCCAAUUGAUUGUGACGUGCUUGUGAUCUUUGCUUGCUCAAAGGGUUUUUUUUUUUUUCCAAUGAUAAAUAAAUGCUAAAGACGAAUACCACCUCCUUGAUCUUGUUUUCUCGAUAAGAAGCACAAUUAAGUGAAAGAAACGCCCUUCCAACAGUAAUCAGAUUUGUGUUGCAUAGAGCCACCACUUCCAUGCCUGCUGUAGGGACAACUGUCACAGUCUGAGUCCCUUUAGAUGGCCGCUAACCUCAGACUAGCCUGACGUGAGAGCUAAGCAUUUGCAGAGGUGAAGAUGGACAGUGAAGUCAUGUGGACGGAGCAGGUAGUUUGCUUUUAUUUUCUCUGUGUACAGCCUCUGGAGCAGAGGGUUCGUGCAGUGAGUGCCCUGCAUGCAGACCUGCUGCACCUUGCUCGUGCCCACGUCACCCUGGAUUAGGGAGCAGAAACUGAGCCCCAUCGAGAGCUGGAGGGAGGGGAGGUGAUGUGGAUGAAGUCACUUAAUUACACAUCCUUUUUCCAACUGCCUGCAGCUUUUACUUUGGCCCAAAGCCACCUGAAAGGGCCACGAGAGGGGUCAAGGGGAUGUAAAUCCUCACUGAAAGGAGGUGGCAAAUUCUUGGGUUGAGCACUUUCAGCAUGCUGCAAGGCUGGACACCGUUGAACAGGCACUUGGCAGUGUCUGUGGAAGUGCAAAGCCCUGAUUUUUACAUCAGAGAAAAUGAUGGAUGAGAAGAAAGCAGGGCUGAGGGCACAGUUUUGUUUUAAAUGGUGAACCCUAAUCUUAGUUUCAUCUCUUUUUGCUUAUAAUUAGCCUGUAAGCUCCUGCCUGCAAUUUUUAUUUUUCAUCAUGUUUUCUCUUUUAAUGGCUAUGCCAAUAACAUCCUUACCAACCUGGGGAGAAUUGGAGUUGUAUUUUGAAAUCUCUCCUCCAACAUAGCUCUGACGAUUUCUAUUGGAGCACCAACCCUUUUCUGUCUUGCCGUUUCUGGGUGCUAUUUCUCAUCCUUGCCUGGUUUACAAAUCGCUUCCUGAAUUUAUUCCGUCUGUGACUACAUGCUAAUAACAGUGCUGCUUUCUAAUGACCUGCUGUAUCACCCUGCCUUCCCCCUCCCUUCCCCACCAGCUUCAUCCGUUCAUCAAUCCCACACACUUACAUGUUCGGAAAAGCGUUUCAGCUGAGCUGUAGGUCUGGGGAUUUAUCAUUUCACCCCUCCACAGUUGGUAUUGGAAAAAAUGUUCAUUGGUUGUUGAUGAGGCUUAUCUGUGACAAUCUGUGUUGGCCAACAGAAUGGUUCUCCCAUGACACAAAGGUGCAGGGUGUUUUCCCAUGCUGCAGCACGGGUGGAUAAUCCAUCUGGUCACACUCACUGCUGGAAAACAUGCCUGUGCUUCCCUGUCCCUCUCUGAACUUGCUCAGCACAGCAAAGCCUAAACACCCCAGGGGGCAGGAUGCGUUUCUAAGAGAGAGCAGGACCUACUGGGCUGACGUGGGGAUGUGCGCUCCCUGGUCUUUAACCAUCACUGUCUGAACCUGCUGCUACUCACUCCUUAAUCUGUGCCAAGCCAUUAGUGACUGGCACUGCCCUCCUGUUUCCAAGGGCUGUUGUGAGAAUGAUGUCUGUGCAAAGCGCUGGAGGUGGGUUACUACAAAUUAAAUGCUUUGUCUUACAAGAGCAUUUAGUGUGGAGGUGCUGACUGGAGUAAAAAUAGUCUUUAUUGUCCGUGUUGGUGUCUGGUGAGGGGACGAGGAGGGGGGAGAAAAUAUUGGCGUGUUGAAUUUAAGGAGUCAAGUCUGCUUCUCACACUCUUAAUAACGGAGCAGCGGAGUGCAGCUUUGCAGAAAUGUUGCUUUGACUGCACAGUGUGUGAGCAGCCCCGUGAGGGGUGGCUGGUAUGGUUUGGAUUUUAAUCAGCUGCUUUCAGAUACAUUGUGUGCUGAGGGCUUCAGCACACAGCCCCGAAGACGUGCAUGGGUGGAUGAAGAGAUGCCUGCCUGGUGCUCUCAUCCCUCCAUCCUAUCCCUUGUAUAAGAUGGGAGCUUAAGUGCCUUGGGCACAGGACUGAGAUUUACCAAUUUUGCCACUUCCAAAUCUCUGAGCUUCCUUUGGAAAUCUCAGUUAUUAUUACAUCCCUGACUGGUAAAGCGAGGUCAAAGGAUGAGUGUGGAUAUUUUGUGGGCUGACAUGUCAGCCUUUAUACGAAUGCACCGAUAUCCUUUGGAUUUAGGGGUUAUUUAGAGAUGUGCCAGUGCCAGUGAGAAAGGGACUUUUUAAGAAGAUGUCUCUGUCAUAGCUGGUACCUCCCAACAUCGAAGGAAUAACCACCGUCCCCAACAGAAACGGCAAAUAAAGAAGAGGAGCUGUGCAGGAAGAAGAUCCCUAGUAUGAUGUUGAUGACAUGGCCAUGUUCAGCACUAAGAACAGUAUCUUUUGCACAGUUGGGAAAUACUGUGAUGUUCAGACAUGGGCUUCAGCUCUCCCUGUUUCCAGCAGCGUCAUGGGUGCCUUGGAAACAGUUCCCUAAUCAUGACUGUCACGUGGAGGAGUUGUGAGCCCAAGGACAAAAGAAAAGCCUGCUAAUGGAUUGAAGGCAUCUUCAUGCUUUCUAAAAUGCCAGCUUUCCCUGCAGGGAGUCUGCUCCAUGGAAACCCACAGCAAGGACCAGCCACAGAAAAAUGAUGGAUGAGGAGUAGUGACAGAUCUUGCGAUAUGUGAGAGCACUGAGGAAUAACAGUUUCUUCAAUGCCAGCAGUUCGAUGAUCCACAGAGACAAGCUUUGUUGUCUGUGUAGAAGCCCUGCAUAUUCAGAGCUGCAUGACCUCCUGUCCUUUACGGUUCUGGUGCAUCUGAUAAAGAGGUUGCCUUUCUCCAGCUUUGUGCAGAGAUGUCCUGGGCUGGCAAGUGGCUCAACAAAUGGCAGCAACUGAGGAGAAUGAAGGAGAAAUCUUGUAGCCCAGAGCAGAAGCAGCCAAGGGUAAAGGAACCGCAUUUCCUGGCACAAUACAGAAAACAGUGGGCAGAAGUGUGCCAGUGGAAAUCCAAACAGAUGCACCUCUCAGGAGAAGCAGAAGCUGGCUUAGCAGCAGGACAUGUUUCAGAGAGAGAUGCCCAGGAGGCUUCUUGUGGUUCAGAAGGUGCCCUGGACAUCUGCUUCUCCAUCCCAGGCUAGGACUAGACAUGUCCAUGGUCUCUUCAGCC